UACGUAGGGGGCAAGCGUUGUCCGGAAUCAUUGGGCGUAAAGCGCGUGUAGGCGGCUCGAUAAGUCUGCUGUGAAAGUCCAGGGCUCAACCCUGGGAUGCCGGUGGAUACUGUCGAGCUCGAGUCCGGAAGAGGCGAGUGGAAUUCCUGGUGUAGCGGUGAAAUGCGUAGAGAUCGGCAGGAACACCCAGGGGGAAACCAGUCGACUGGGCAUCUACUGACGCUGAGGUGCGAGAGCGUGGGGAGCGAACCGG
rnacentral:rRNA from 1 species